rnacentral:rRNA from 1 species
GAUGAACGCUGGCGGCGUGCCUAAUACAUGCAAGUCGAGCGAACGGACGAGAAGCUUGCUUCUCUGAUGUUAGCGGCGGACGGGUGAGUAACACGUGGAUAACCUACCUAUAAGACUGGGAUAACUUCGGGAAACCGUAGCUAAUACCGGAUAAUAUUUUGAACCGCAUGGUUCAAAAGUGAAAGACGGUCUUGCUGUCACUUAUAGAUGGAUCCGCGCUGCAUUAGCUAGUUGGUAAGGUAACGGCUUACCAAGGCAACGAUGCAUAGCCGACCUGAGAGGGUGAUCGGCCACACUGGAACUGAGACACGGUCCAGACUCCUACGGGAGGCAGCAGUAGGGAAUCUUCCGCAAUGGGCGAAAGCCUGACGGAGCAACGCCGCGUGAGUGAUGAAGGUCUUCGGAUCGUAAAACUCUGUUAUUAGGGAAGAACAUAUGUGUAAGUAACUGUGCACAUCUUGACGGUACCUAAUCAGAAAGCCACGGCUAACUUCGUG